GUUCCUCCGUUGGUAUUAAAAAUAGACCGGUGCUGAUAACAGACUUAUGUUUCGGCUUCAUCACUCGCCGUCGGGAAUCGCUUGCGUGCUACUUUCAUCUUAAUCACCGAACCGUGACCGGUGGGAGCGUAAAUGCGCAUCGGUGUGCGCAUCUCUGAAUCUUUGGAACCUCGCCGUGGACAAUCUCUCUGACAUCCAAAGACAUCUUCCCCGCAAUCCCAGCGAGGCUGCUUCGCCGCCUAUGGCCGCAGAUCAGCUCGGCUGGCCUCGUCCCGGACCUUUCACCCACGGCUGCCCUCCAAAAGGUGUUUGAAUCAGGGAGACAUCUCCACGGGAUUUAAAAAAAAAAAUCACCUCGGCUGGCUGCUUUUAAAGAACCCGGUGCUAUGCUGGGCCCAUCUUUUUAGAUCUCGUUAUCAAUAGCCUACACCAUCUCUCCUCCCACAUUCGUCCGACCGAGAGACCCUUAUCGAGCCCUAACGAUGCAUCCUAUCGCGGUGAUGCUGGCGGUGGUCCUUCUGGGCAACUUGAUGCUGCCCUUUGCCUCGGCUCAAAACGCUGGGUUUGUGAAGUCGCCACUGUCUGAGACUAAGCUUACCGGGGAUACCUUUGAGCUGUACUGCGAGGUGGUCGGUAACCCCACUCCAGAGAUCCAGUGGUGGUACGCCGAAGUCAACCGGGCCGACUCCUUCAAGCAGCUUUGGGACGGAGCCCGCAAGCGCAGGGUGUCCAUCAACACGGCCUACGGCACCAAUGGGGUCAGUGUGCUCGGCAUCACACGCCUCACACUGGAGGACUCGGGGACCUAUGAGUGCAGGGCAAGCAACGACCCCAGGCGCAAUGAUCUCCGACAAAACCCGGCUAUCACCUGGAUCCGCGCCCAGGCCACCAUAUCAGUGCUACAGAAACCAAAGAUCAAUGCCUCUGAUCAGAUCGUCCUGCCCCUGGACGGACCUGUCAAAUCGGUUAUCCUACAUUGCAACCUGACUGCUGCCCAUACGGCCCACAAGGACAGCUUCUGGAUGAAGAAUGGACGCGAGAUUCCAAACACACGGGGAGAAGAGAGAACUAGAUCGUUCAGAAUCUCUAAACCUCGAGCAGACGAUUCGGGGGAAUACAUGUGCGUUUACACAUUUGAUAAAGCACCAAAUGCAAACGCAACAAUUGAAGUGAAAGCAAAACCCUACGUCACGGGGCACAAGCGAAGUGAAAAUAAAAACGAGGGGGAAAAUGCCAUGAUGUACUGCAAGUCUGUCGGCUACCCGCACCCAACUUGGACAUGGCGAAAAGUGGACGGAACAUCUUACAAGGAUAUUGACAACUCCACAGGACGCUUCUUCAUCACAAACAGAGACAACUACACAGAGAUCAACAUACUGAACCUAGAUAUAACCACGGAUCCUGGAAUAUAUGAAUGCAACGCAACCAAUGUGAUUGGGAACACUGCGGAGACCACGAUACUACGAGUGCGCAGCCAUCUUGCGCCGCUUUGGCCUUUUCUGGGAGUGCUCGCAGAAAUUAUCAUCCUCGUCGUCAUCAUCGUUGUGUAUGAGAAACGCAAGAGGCCAGAUGACAUUAUUGAUGUGAGAGAUCCUGCAUGGCUAUGAAGAUCUGUUGUCAGUUUACGAUGAACCAGUCGGACCAGCGAAAACAAACUCAACAAACAACCACAAGGACAAAAACAUACGCCAGAGGAAUACAAAAUAAGCAAUUUACUCAAAUGAGAUGGAUAAACUGCAUUUUUUUGACUACAUGAAAGUAUCAGAGGUUGACAAAACUCCAGGCAGUGUGGAAUAACCCAUAUCCUGUCUCAUUCUAUGAGAAACAAUAUCAGCACAACACUGGCAACAAUAAGAACUUACUGUAAUGGCUGUCUUAAGCAUGCCUUAUCCAGUCUUAGAUGGCAAUUUCAGGAUGAUGAAUAAUGACUAACACGCCACAAAGGUGUACACAUUUCCAAUGUGCUGUUGAUGUCUCCUUUAUUAAUUUUAACAUUUCCUCAACUGAGGUGAUCCCUUUUGUAUUACAUAUCAUGUACAAUGCAUGCAAGAUAAUAACGCAAUAGGAUACUCAGAAUAGACAUUUUCUGUUGUUAUCCCUCGUGUGGCUUUUUUGCAUCCAAUCUACCUGUUUUUUAUGGAGUCAUCCUAAAUAUAUAUAUAUAUAUAUAUAUAUAUAUAUAUAUAUAUAUAUAUAUAUAUAUAUAUAUAUAUAUAAAUGCUUUUUAUCAACAAUUUGUACAGCAUAUCAUUGUCAUUGAAAUAUUUAAUUUGUCAGAAGAAAAUCUACUUUUAUCAGAACUUUUAUUGUGAAGCAAGGGCUUCAAUGACAGGCAGUAUUUAAAUUUAAUUGAGCGUGCUUACAGAAAAUGACUACUGUGUGUUUAACUAUCUUAAUGAAAAGGAUAUCUGUAUUAUUUCUAUUUUCUUUCCAGAGUAACUUAGGUGUCUUGUAUAUGUUGAAGUAUGAGUGUUCAAAUGAUAGGAAAUAUGUAAAAAAAAAUAAUAUUUUUUUUAUAAUUCUCAAUUUCAAUUCAUUGAUUUUUACUUUCUAUUUUUCUCUCUUUAACUGUAUAGCAUGGCUAUAAUCCUAUGCAAUAUGUAUUCUUAAAUAGAUAUAUGGAGGGCAGUUUGUUUUACUCAGUGAAGCUUUAAUCUUGUGGGAUCACUUGAAAGCUGGCAUAGAUUCACUGCUGUAGCUGCAUGACUCCUCUUUCAAUACAAUGUAUCCAUGUGUGUUGCGGUGGGAAAGGACCUGGUUUCGGGAUGUGAACUGAGGGACCAGAGCAUAUAGCCACGAUCAAACAUAUGAGUGAGACCAACAUUUUUUUUCUGAAUAAAAACAAUGUCAAAAACCA